UGGUAAGGCCCACAACUUGAUGGGGAAUUU
rnacentral:piRNA from 1 species